rnacentral:rRNA from 1 species
UACGUAGGGACCAAGCGUUGUUCGGAUUUACUGGGCGUAAAGGGCGCGUAGGCGGCUUAACAAGUCACUUGUGAAAUCUCCGGGCUUAACUCGGAACGGCCAAGUGAAACUGUCAAGCUAGAGUGCAGAAGGGGCAAUCGGAAUUCCUGGUGUAGCGGUGGAAUGCGCAGAUAUCAGGAGGAACACCUAUAGCGAAGGCAGCUUGCUGGGACGACACUGACGCUGAGGCGCGAAAGCGUGGGGAGCGAACAGG